GCCUGGGUGGCUCAGUCGGUUAAGCAUCUGACUUCGGCUCAGGUCAUGAUCUCACAGCUCGUGAGUUCGAGCCCCGCAUCGGGCU
rnacentral:tRNA from 1 species